rnacentral:rRNA from 1 species
CAGUCAUACCAACGGGAAAUCAACCUUUUGAGCUCGGUCUCGUGGGUUUUGAAGAGUUUCAAAGCCUUCGGAUUCGCGGGAUUGGGAUCUCUCGGUGUACUUUUUCGUACGGUUAGUCAACAUCGGCUUUGAAUGUCAUAAAAUGAUUGGGGGAAUGUAGCUUCGAUCUCGUAUUGAAGUGUUAUAGCCUUUGGUAGAUGUGAUGUUUGAGACCGAGGAUUGCAACGGAUACCCUUCAGGGCUAUUCGUCUGAUCUCUGAUACGUUGCCCUGAUGUUGAAAGCUUGCUUAUGAUGUUAGGGUAUUACGGUCAAAAGGUUAGAACGAAUUACA